UUAAGUGCCGGUGACUUUAAAAGUGAAUUUUUGUUUAGAAGGUGAUGUUGUUGGUUACUUUAUUUGUUGAAAAUGCUUAAGUGCCGGUGACUUUAAUAGUGAAUUAGUUUCGUCGGUGCCUUUGUUAGUUGAAAAAGCUUGAGUUUUGGUGACUUUAAUAGUGAACUAGUGUUUAGAAGGUGAUGUUGUUGGUGACUUUAUUUGUUGAAAAUGCUUAAAUUUUGUUGACUUUAAUAGUGAAUUAGUGUUUAGGAGGUGAUGUUGUUGGUGACUUUAUUUGUUGAAAAUGCUUAAGUGCCAGUGACUUUAACAGUGAAUUAGUGUUUAGGAGGUGAUAUUGUUAGUGAUCUUAUUUGUUGAAAAUACUUAAGUGCCGGUGACUUUAAAAGUGAACUUUUGUUUAGAAGGUGAUGUUGUUGGUUACUUUAUUUGUUGAAAAUGCUUAAGUGUCAGAGACUUUAAUGGUGAAUUAGUGUUUAGGUGAUGUUGUCGGUGACUUUAUUUGUUGAAAAUGCUUAAGUGCCGGUGACUUUAAUAGUGAAUUAGUGUUUAGGAGGUGAUGUUGUUGGUGACUUUAUUUCUUGAAAAU
rnacentral:lncRNA from 1 species